GCUGGCGGCGUGCCUAAUACAUGCAAGUUGAGCGAUGAAGAUUGGUGCUUGCACCAAUUUGAAGAGCAGCGAACGGGUGAGUAACGCGUGGGGAAUCUGCCUUUGAGCGGGGGACAACAUUUGGAAACGAAUGCUAAUACCGCAUAACAACUUUAAACAUAAGUUUUAAGUUUGAAAGAUGCAAUUGCAUCACUCAAAGAUGAUCCCGCGUUGUAUUAGCUAGUUGGUGAGGUAAAGGCUCACCAAGGCGAUGAUACAUAGCCGACCUGAGAGGGUGAUCGGCCACAUUGGGACUGAGACACGGCCCAAACUCCUACGGGAGGCAGCAGUAGGGAAUCUUCGGCAAUGGACGAAAGUCUGACCGAGCAACGCCGCGUGAGUGAAGAAGGUUUUCGGAUCGUAAAACUCUGUUGGUAGAGAAGAACGUUGGUGAGAGUGGAAAGCUCAUCAAGUGACGGUAACUACCCAGAAAGGGACGGCUAACUACGUGCCAGCAGCCGCGGUAAUACGUAGGCCUCGAGCGUUGUCCGGAUUUAUUGGGCGUAAAGCGAGCGCAGGCGGUUAUUUAAGUCUGAAGUUAAAGGCCGUGGCUCAACCAUGGUUCGCUUUGGAAACUGGAUAACUUGAGUGCAGAAGGGGAGAGUGGAAUUCCAUGUGUAGCGGUGAAAUGCGUAGAUAUAUGGAGGAACACCGGUGGCGAAAGCGGCUCUCUGGUCUGUAACUGACGCUGAGGCUCGAAAGCGUGGGGAGCAAACAGGAUUAGAUACCCUGGUAGUCC
rnacentral:rRNA from 1 species